rnacentral:rRNA from 1 species
UCUGGCGGCGAUAGCGAGAAGGCCACACCCGUUCCCAUACCGAACACGGAAGUUAAGCUUCUCAGCGCCGAUGGUAGUUGGGGGUUUCCCCCUGUGAGAGUAGGACGCUGCCAGGC